GGCAGGCGCCGACCCUCCCUCCCCAGGACCCGCCAGACGCCCGGGGCCCCCAACGGCCAGCAAGGUCGGAAUCGAACCCAAGCUUGACCCGAGGGCAGCGGGGCCUCCGGGAAUGCCUGGCCAGGGCGGUGUCGCCGGUGUGAAUCGGGGAGGGGGCGGCCGGGGCAGGACCCGGGGCAGGGCCGCUCUGGUAGUCUCCCGCCCACCCCUCCCCAAGCCGAGCUCCCGGCCUCCCUCCCUCUCCCCCGUCCGGGGCUGAGGACCGGGGAAGCUGAGUCCCGGGACGGGACGGAUGUGGAGGGUGGGGCUUGGGAUGCAGCCGGACCUCCCGGAACAGCAGGGGGCGCUGGAGCCGCCAGGAGGGGAGAAGGCCCCGUCCCCGAGCCAGGCUCGCAGGAUGUUUAUCCCAGGAAAUCCAGAGGAUCAGAACCAGGCAGGACCCGGCACUGGGACGGAGGCAGCUGUCCGCAGGGCGUUUACCGUAGAUAUGUAUCACCUGUUCUGAGACAGAGCCGGGGAGGCUGUCUUUAAUCAUCCGGGAGGUUGUAAAAUGUUUCCAGACGUUACGAGGACAGCUGCUGGAAUAAUGAUGCAGGUAGCUGGCACACACGCAGUGCAAAGGUUUCACCAGGCACAGUCUUCUAUGCCUAUUAUCUGGUCAAUACGAGCAGCAGCCACGUUAAGGUGUAAUACACACUGGCGUUAUCUAAUUUUCCAUGCGAGGAAAUUGAGGCACACAAAGGGCAACUGGCUUGCUCAAGGUCACGUCAAUGGCAAAGCGUGGAUCUGGGAUUCAAGCCCAGACGAUUGGGCUCCAGAAUCGACUUUAUUAGUCAUGAUCACUCAAGAGAAAACAUCAAGCACUUUUCAUUACAUGUUUAAUGAAAAUGAUGUUAAAGUGGUUUUGUAGGAGAAAACAUUUCACUCCUGUAAAUACAUUUUACUGCAUUCUAAAAUCUAGCAGGAAAAGAUGUGGCCUAACUACCAUCAAGAUUUGCGUACAUUUCAUUGGAAAUACAAGCACACUGGACAUGGGAAAAUACUGGGGAACUUUACACGGAAGAGAAUGCAUCUGAUAGUCUAGCAAACUAGCAUUUGCUGGAUUUUUAGGACAUACAGGAGGCCGGGUGCAGUGACCUCCCCCAGCAAUCCCAGCAAUUGGGGAGGCUGAGGCCAGUGGAUUGCUUGAGCCCAGGAGUCCAAGGCCAGCCCGGGCAACAUGGUAAAACCUCAUCUCUAUGAAAAAAAUACAAAAAAUUAGCCGGGCAUGCUGGUGCACAGCUGUAGUCUCAGCUACAUGGGAGGUUGAGGUGGGAGAAUCACCUGAGCCUGGGGAAGUCAAGGCUGCAGUGAGCCGAGAUCGCACCACUGCGCUCCAGCCUGGGUAACAGAGUGAGACCCUGUUUCAACAAACAAAACACAAAAAUAUAUAUAUGCUGAAUGCUCAGUGAGUUGUAACAUGUGAGGCAGCCCCCAGGGGUGCAGAGAUGAACCCCCGAGAAGGUGCAUGUACCCACGGGGUGCAAAGAUGAACCCCCGUCUGAGAAGGCGCAUGUACCCGCGGGGUGCAGAGAUGAACCCCCAUCUGAGAAGGUGCAUGUACCCACGGGGUGCAGAGAUGAACCCCUGAGAAGGUGCAUGUACCCGCGGGGUGCAGAGAUGAACCCCUGAGA